AUUGAACGCUGGCGGCAUGCCUUACACAUGCAAGUCGAACGGUAGAGUAGCAAUACUUGAGAGUGGCGAACGGGUGAGUAAUAUAUCGGAACGUGCCCAGUCGUGGGGGAUAACGUAGCGAAAGCUACGCUAAUACCGCAUACGAUCUAUGGAUGAAAGCGGGGGGAUCGCAAGACCUCGCGCGAUUGGAGCGGCCGAUAUCAGAUUAGGUAGUUGGUGAGGUAAAGGCUCACCAAGCCGACGAUCUGUAGCUGGUCUGAGAGGACGACCAGCCACACUGGGACUGAGACACGGCCCAGACUCCUACGGGAGGCAGCAGUGGGGAAUUUUGGACAAUGGGCGCAAGCCUGAUCCAGCAAUGCCGCGUGCAGGAUGAAGGCCUCGG
rnacentral:rRNA from 1 species